ACCGAUAAACUUGACAACAACUCCACCACCAGUUUUUUACUGACAAGCUUAUAAUCAAGUCAAUCAACAAACCAACCGAACAAACUACCAAUCAUUCUUCUGGAAAAAGCAAUACAGUCUUCUUUGAGAAAUGGCUACCUAUAGUUGUGGGCUUGUCAGCUGCCGUAUUGUUGCUUAUUGUCGGUGUUGCCACGUGUCUUUGUUUGACAAAAACAAGAGUCCAUUGUAUCGAUCCUGCAGUGUGAAUUUAGCAAAUAUUGAUGGAUUUUGAUCUGCAGUGUGUACAUUGUGUUCAAAGUCACUGUGAAUUUAUUUGUGCCUCAA